GCGUACGUAGGAUUUAUAUAGGCAGAUGGCCCCCAAUUUUUGAAAAAUAAUAAGAUCGAUGACAGUGUUGAAAAUCGACAGUUUUCACUAAAAUAAACUUUAAACUACCGAACUGUGUCGUUUUUAAUAAUAACAAAUUCUCAGUAUUGAUUUAAAAUGGAUUUAAAAUACGACCGGUACAGGCAUUUCGCGUUAAAAUUGCUGAAUUCGGCCAUUUCAGACUCAAAAUUCGCUUAUUAGCAACCCUUGCUUCAAGUAACAAUUUAUAACAGCUAUUUCAUUUGUUAAUUCUAUUUAAUAUUUUCCUAACCAGAAACUGAAGCAAGGGUUGCUAAUAAAUGAAUUUUGGAAAAAAUGAUAUUAUUUGUCUGGCCUUUCUCACGUAUAAGAGUGGCCUCCCUUGAAGCCAGGUGCUCGUUGCCAGGCAAUAUUAUAGGUGGCGCCGCUGUCAACAUGUGCAUGUGAAAGCGAAAGUAGAAUGUUUAUCUAGGAAUUAUUACAACAUUUUACCCUUCUACGUUGAAUUUUAAGGUAAGUAGAUAAAAUGCUAUUUUGUUGUGUUAAAUAACUAGGGAAGUAUUCAUUCAAUUCUAUUUCAAUUGACAUGGAGCAGAAUUAUUGACAUACAAGUGGCACAACGGUGCAGACUGUUAAUGUUACCUCACAGUAGGAAGACAAAAAAUCUACUGACACAGUGAAAGUGUUUACAUUUUGCAUUAUUUAUCUGAUUCAACCUGAUGAAUGGUGUGUACUCAUUGAAUACAUGUACUGUAUAUGAAAUGAAUGAAGCAGUAAUUUGACAAAUACAAGCAAUGAGACAUUGUUCAUUGUUUAAAAUAUGGAAUAUUUUUCUGGUAUCCUUCACAAAUGAGACAAUCCUUGAGAUAUAAAAGAAAUGCUUCAAGGUCAACAGAAUAUGAUUGAAAUUAAGUAAUGUAAUUUCUUAUUAUCAUUAUUAUUGACAUAUUGUGAUGUCUUGCACUAAUCAGUGUUUGUUUUGUAUCAUAUUUCAGAUAUUAAAGUAUGAAUAUUGAGAUGGUUAUUUAGUUACCUUCAACUGGUCAGUGGCCAAAAGGUAUGUCUUUUUGAUAAUUGUAAAAUUUUCCUUACACACUUUUUCUUAUGAUAAUUAUAGGCCUCCCAAGUUAAUCUCCACAGUUCUUACCAUCUAUCUACUUUGUUUCUGCUGAAAGUAUAAACACUUUAAAAUAACUGUUCUAUAUUCUGUAUAUAUCCAGGGUUGCAGUGUAUCACAUUCUCUUUUUGAAAUUUCUGUGACCUAUAUUUUCUAGAGUAAAAGAAAAUGUUGUCAUAUUUAUGCAAGAGUAAGACCAGAUCAACUGAGACCCAAAAUAUAGUUGUGGUGUGUGACUUACUUGUUCUCAUGACAUAAUGAAAGAUCAGCUGCUGUGGAAUGCCAGUCAUACACAUGUACCUGCCAGAACAUUACCUUUUAAUUCAAGAAAAUUGCUUUUAAAUCAAUUUUGUGGCUUUAUAUCUAUAAACCUGAGGUCAUAUUCAUAAAGCUUCUAAGAUUAUUUUCAUCUAAGAUAUUCAAUAUUUUGUUAGAAACCUGAAGCUGAAAUAUUUUCUUAUUUAAAAUAUGAGAAACAUUAUGAAUAUGUCCUCUGUAAUUAAAUUAAUUGAUGAAUCACACACUUAUGCAUAUUGGUUAUGUCAUAAAAUAUUAUUUGACUUUUUUAUUUUAGGGAGUAUUUCUGUGUGUCUUGAAGCAUUGAAUGCCCCAAAACAACCAGUAUGAUAAGAUGAUCAGAGUAUACAGCUUCCCAAAAUGUUGAAAGACUAAGCUGUUUUUCUAUGGACUUGUAUACUAUCUAGGUUGAAAACAGCCACAGACAAUGAAUUUGGAGGUGCAUGCUGGAGCAUCAGAAAUUACAGACUUGGAAUAAAUAAUUGCACAAUACACAUUUACUGAGAAGUGACUAAUGUUUAUGUUAAAGUGCAAUAUCCAUAUUUGUAACAUUUACUUGGGGGUAGUAGUUACAGUGUUGAAAGAGACUACCAGUGUUACAUUUCAAUCUAAGUUACAGUGUGGAUGCUAAUUCUAAAUUCUUGAUAAUCAAGUGUUUUUAAUAACUUAUGAAUACUAAUUAUUUAUCAAACUGUUUAAUUUAUCACAUUCCUACAUCAUUAUUUUAUAUAAAAUGCUUGUAGUUAUAUAAUAUAUGUCAGGUUAAAUGGUAAUACAUUUUGUUUCUGUGUAAA